GCCCAAGUGGUGGAACUGGUAGACGCGCUGGCUUCAGGUGCCAGUGACCGCAAGGUCGUGGAGGUUCGAGUCCUCUCUUGGGCACCA
rnacentral:tRNA from 1 species